rnacentral:lncRNA from 1 species
ACAGAGAGGGAUUUCUGAGCCUCCCCAUUGGUUCACAGCGAGCAUGAGGCUCCACCCUCUCUAAGAGAGAGGGGGGAGAGAGAAAGAAAGAGGGAGGGGGGAAGUAGGGAGAGUGAAAGUGGAGAGGCAGGCAGGCAGACGUGUUGCAACAGAUGGCUUUACCAGUAGCGGCUCGGUGGCGGCUGUACCAAGGAACUCUGGGACGCUGUUAGACCCAGAACAGAGGCUACAAACUCACUGUCUUCCUCUGCAGACAGACAGGAAGACAGUGUCAGUGUGAGCACAAGUUUAGUAGCUGAAAGGAGCAACAGUUUUAUGGAGGAGAUGAAUGUGUGAUCUGAGCCUUCAUCCUCUUCCUCCUCUUCCUCCUCAUGCUCCUGCUCCGGGGUCACAGAGGAAAACACCUGCUGACAGCGAGGAGGUCCUGAGGGAGGAGACGCAGCAGGAGCAGUGCGGUAGCAGUAGGACUCCACUACUCUGAGUCUUGAGCUGAGAAACGUGACCUUCAAGUCUCAAGUGUGCGACUCUCUGCAGGUGGACUCGCACGCUUAGCUGACGACAUGACGCUCUAUUCCCGUGCUGGAUCCCAGCAGACACCAGCUUUCUCAGUGAAUAAAAUGUUUCAACAUUUCCAUGAGUCACUUCACAGCAUCACACACUUCUGUGUUGUGUCCUGUUCUCUGUACUGAAGCUGCAGUUCAGCUGAAGAACUGUAAUUAUGGUCUGUAACGGCGCUUAUUGAUGUUUGCUUUAUUGACGGUUCUAUUGACGUCUGAGCUUGUGUGGUCUGACUGACGGCCAUUUGUUGUGUCAGGACAUGACGGAGAUUUAUGGGAAGGGUGUGUGUGCGUGUGUGUGUGUGCGUGUGCGUGUGCGUGCGUGUUCAGGGGCUUUCCCUCUGCUCUGUACUGAACUGUUGAAGGUUUAAGGAUCUGUCUGCAGAUCUUUUAGCUUCUUAGUUUGUGACGAUGAAAAGAAAACUGGAGCUGUGUGUGUGUGUGUGUGUGUGUGUUCUCUCUGACUUUAUUUCCCGUGUUGUCGUUCUGUCUCUUCAGUAUUUGUACGCGUCAUGUGACUCCACAUGAGCUCAGACUUAUUUUUAUGAACAAGAAUGCUUUUCAUAAUUUAAAGUGCUUUUAGGCUCUUUGUCUAAGUAAUGAAUGUGUUUAGUGUCCAUGUUACUAUUUGUGCAGCCUAAAUAAUAAAGCAGUAAGAUAUUAAAAGUUUAGUAUUCAAGUGUUUGUAUCUGGUUAAAUAAAAAAUGUAUUGCCCAUGAAAUAAAUCAUUUAAAAAGCCUAUAUUCACUAAAGCUUUAUUAAUCUACAUAAAUACAA